UUAAUUGACAGAAAAUUUUGGCUUUUCGAAAUUUCGUUGGUUUAUUGACGAAAAUAUACGGUUAAGAUGAAAAAAAUUUCGUUACAAUCUGAAAAUAUUUGGUGAGUGCAAAGGAAAAACACAAAGGGAAAUGAAUCGAGAAAAAAGUAUUAAUAAAGGGACAGGAAUGGGCCAAGCCAAAAAGAAACGAAAUGCCGAAACAAGCAAAUGUGAAGAUAUACCAGUGCUCAUUACCCAUUUCGUUCUAUCUUUAAGGGGGGAGGAGACAAAUUGGAUGCGAUGGAGCAACAGCGAAACUCAAUAGGUCAAUAAACCAUCGCCCCAAGAGACACUCGCGGUCUGCCAUUUUUUUUUACUUCCUCCCGAGCCCAAAAAACACGAGGAGAAGUAACAUCGAAGAGAUAAAGGGCAGGAAGGGCGAUACAGGAAGAUGUAAACUUACCAGCCGGGGAGAAAAGAAAUAAUAACAAUAAAUAGGAGCAGAAGAAGAUGUAGGGAAGAGAGGAAGGGGAAACGGCGCAAGAAGCCGCGGCACGUGACCCCAAGGACCGACAGAGUCAACUCGCUCAAGUAGUCGGGCCCUGCCCUUUGAACCACGGCAAUUUCGAAUUAUAUCUCCCGGAGAGCGGAUACUCGACGGUGACACAGAGUUUAUAGUGAGGUUUCGCUUCGAUGGGAGACGGUCCAAUGGAGCUGAGAAUCGCACAUCGAUCGCCGAGCAGGGGACAAUUUUUCCGAGCUUUUGCUGAAAUCGGUGACGUGGAAUUCGGACACAAUGAGGUUUCGUUGGCUUUUCAGUUUUCCUUGACCCCCCCGUGAAGUCGCGAUGCAACUGUCAGGAAUGUGGAAACAGGAAAAUUGAAGAAUUAGAAAAGUGGGGUAGAGUCGAAGGGGUGGAACGGGCUCGGAAAAUAAAACGAUAAAAAAUA